rnacentral:rRNA from 1 species
CUACGGGAUGCAGCAGUGGGGAAUAUUGCGCAAUGGGCGAAAGCCUGACGCAGCAACGCCGUGUGAGGGAUGAAGGCUUUCGGGUCGUAAACCUCUGUCAGAAGGGAAGAACGGGUAUUGGUCUAAUAGGCCUUUAUUUUGACGGUACCUUCAGAGGAAGCACCGGGUAACUCCGUGCCAGCAGCCGCGGUAAUACGGAGGGUGCAAGCGUUAUUCGGAAUUACUGGGCGUAAAGCGCACGUAGGCCGCUUUGUAAGUCAGGGGUGAAAUCCCACGGCUCAACCGGGGAACUGCCUUUGAAACUGCAGAGCUUGAAUCCUGGAGAGGGUGGCGGAAUUCCUGGUGUAGGAGUGAAAUCCGUAGAUAUCAGGAGGAACACCGGUGGCGAAGGCGGCCACCUGGACAGGUAUUGACGCUGAGGUGCGAAAGUGUGGGGAGCAAACAGGAUUAGAUACCCGAGUAGUC